AAAGGAGCCUGGACAGAGAAAUAUCUGCAAUUCCAGCAAAAUGCUGCCUGCAGCCUGAAGAUGAACAGCUUUGAUAAAAUGGUUGUGGAAAACUGGGACUUACCCCAAAGCCGCAAAGCAGGCAAUCACGGAAGAGUAUUUGGGUAAGAAUGCAAUCUGAAGAGAAAAAGAGAAAAAUGAGGAAGAACACAAGCAAAUAACAGUAACACUUUCAAAACACUUUUCAAAUGGACAUAGAAAUCUGGGCACACGUUUAUAAGUAAACAGCUAUCAAGCAUCAAGUUUAGUUGUCACUUCAACCUCCCCCAUGCCAUUAAUUUUCUGCUAUGCUAUUAAGAGAAACAAAUAUCCUUUAUAGUUUCAGUGAUCACAUCUCUCUGAUAUAUGUUCAUUCCAGAAAAGUAAAGUUCAAAUAAGAUUCAUUUUGGCUAAAAAUUUGAAAUUACUUUCCAAAUUAGAGGUGCUAUAUAUUAUGGCCAUUUUAAUGGAUGUACAGUACUAGUCAAUGGUUUAUAUCUUUUAACA